UUAUAAUUUUAAGAUUUUUAAAAAAUAAUAUAAAUAAGACUUUUGGAAUUUUUUAGAAUUAUAUCUUUUUCAAUAUCACUUCAAAGAAAAUAAAGAAAGCUUUUAUUAUUAUGGUUUAAAAGAUUGAUACUCCCUAAAAAAUUAUACUUGAUAUUUUUGAAUUGCUGCCACUUUUAGUGAUUCUUAUCUUCUAACUAGCAUAUCUUAUUGAGUUAUUUUGUGGCAUCUUAAACUCUUAUAGUAGCAAACUAUACAUUUACUUGUUUCUACCAAAAUACCUUUAAUCUCUCUUAAUGUCAUUUAAAACCC
rnacentral:lncRNA from 1 species